ensembl:snRNA U6 U6 spliceosomal RNA
GUGCUCGCUUUGGCAGCACAUAUACUAAAAUUGGAACGAUACAGAGAAGAUUAGCAUGGCCCCUGUGCAAGGAUGACAUGCAAAUUUGUGAAGUGUUCCAUAUUUAA